AAGUCGUAACAAGGUUUCCGUAGGUGAACCUGCGGAAGGAUCAUUACUGAAGUGAUUUGGGGAUGUUGCUGGCCUCUUCUUUUCGAGGGGCAAAUGUGCACUCCCUGAACAAUUCACAAUUUCCAUCACACCCUUGUGCACAUCUUGUAGGCGCCCACUCACCUCUCUUGGUUGGGGCGUCCUAUGUAUUCCUUCAUCUCACACUUUAUUGAAUGGUGCUCUUGAACGCAUCUCAUGGAUUAUUUGUAAAAAAGUAAUCACAGAAACAACUUUCAACAAUGGAUCUCUUGGCUCUCGCAUCGAUGAAGAACGCAGCGAAAUGCGAUACGUAAUGUGAAUUGCAGAAUUCCGUGAAUCAUCGAAUCUUUGAACGCACCUUGCGCCUCUUGGUAUUCCGAGGGGCAUGCCUGUUUGAGUGUCAUUGAAUCCUCAAAAGAAAAGCUUGACUGCUUUCUCUUUUGGAAUUGGAGCGUGCUGGCCUUCUGUUAAUGAAGCCCAGCUCCUCUGAAAUACAUUAGUGAUGUGACAUCCGCAUGGCACCACGCUUGUCUGGCAUUGAUAAGUAUCUUCAUGCCUGAGUGUGUUGUGCAGCUGUGGAAAGUUUCGCUCGCUCAUAGCUUGAUGGGGUCAGCCCAUCCUUUGACCAAUUUAACCUCAAAUCAGGUAGGAUUACCCGCUGAACUUAAGCAUAUCAAUAAGCGGAGGAAAAGAAACUAACAAGGAUUCCCCUAGUAACUGCGAGUGAAGCGGGAAGAGCUCAAAUUUAAAAUCUGGCGGUUCUCUGAGCUGUCCGAGUUGUAAUCUAGAGAA
rnacentral:misc_RNA from 1 species